rnacentral:rRNA from 1 species
AUUGAACGCUGGCGGCAUGCUUUACACAUGCAAGUCGAGCGGCAGCGCGGGGGCAACCCUGGCGGCGAGCGGCGAACGGGUGAGUAAUGCAUCGGAACGUGUCCCGUAGUGGGGGAUAACGCCGCGAAAGCGGCGCUAAUACCGCAUAUGCUCUACGGAGGAAAGUGGGGGACCUGCAAGGGCCUCACGCUAUGGGAGCGGCCGAUGUCCGAUUAGCUAGUUGGNGGGGUAAUGGCCUACCAAGGCGACGAUCGGUAGCUGGUCUGAGAGGAUGAUCAGCCACACUGGGACUGAGACACGGCCCAGACUCCUACGGGAGGCAGCAGUGGGGAA